UACGUAGGGUGCGAGCGUUGUCCGGAAUUAUUGGGCGUAAAGGGCUCGUAGGCGGUUUGUUACGUCGGGAGUGAAAACUCGGGGCUCAACUCCGAGCUUGCAGUCGAUACGGGCAGGCUAGAGUUCGGCAGGGGAGACUGGAAUUCCUGGUGUAGCGGUGAAAUGCGCAGAUAUCAGGAGGAACACCGGUGGCGAAGGCGGGUCUCUGGGCCGAUACUGACACUGAGGAGCGAAAGCGUGGGGAGCGAACAGG
rnacentral:rRNA from 1 species